rnacentral:rRNA from 1 species
GACGAACGCUGGCGGCGUGCUUAACACAUGCAAGUCGAACGGAAAGGCCCUGCUUUUGUGGGGUGCUCGAGUGGCGAACGGGUGAGUAACACGUGAGUAACCUGCCCUUGACUUUGGGAUAACUUCAGGAAACUGGGGCUAAUACCGGAUAGGAGCUCCUGCUGCAUGGUGGGGGUUGGAAAGUUUCGGCGGUUGGGGAUGGACUCGCGGCUUAUCAGCUUGUUGGGGGGGUAGUGGCUUACCAAGGCUUUGACGGGUAGCCGGCAUGAGAGGGUGACCGGCCACAUGGGGACUGAGAUACGGCCCAGACUCCUACGGGAGGCAGCAGUGGGGAAUAUUGCACAAUGGGCGGAAGCCUGAUGCAGCAACGCCGCGUGCGGGAUGACGGCUUUCGGGUUGUAAACCGCUUUCGCCUGUGACGAAGCGUGAGUGACGGUAAUGGGUAAAGAAGCACCGGCUAACUACGUG